rnacentral:tRNA from 1 species
GCCUGGGUGGCUUAGUCGGUUAAGCAUCUGACUUCGGCUCAGGUCAUGAUCUCGUGGUUUGUGAGUUCGAGCCCCGCGUCGGGCU